UACAGAGGUGGCAAGCGUUGUUCGGAAUUACUGGGCGUAAAGCGCGUGUAGGCGGGCCCCCAAGUCGGACGUGAAAGCCCCGAGCUCAACUCGGGAACUGCAUCCGAAACUGAGGGCCUUGAGUGAUGGAGAGGGAAGCAGAAUUCCUGGUGUAGAGGUGAAAUUCGUAGAUAUCAGGAGGAACACCGGUGGCGAAGGCGGCUUCCUGGACAUUGACUGACGCUGAGACGCGAAAGCGUGGGGAGCAAACAGG
rnacentral:rRNA from 1 species